rnacentral:sRNA from 1 species
CUUGUCUGACAGCAAUGGGAGGGGAGGCCCUUGGUCCUGGAGAGGUUUGAUGCCCUAGCUAGGGGGAUGCUAGAGCGGUUGGUGGGCGAAUGAAGGUGGGGGAGCAUUCUCAUAUAGUCAAAGGGGAGGGGGAGGGCAGAUGUGGGAUGGGGGCUGGUUGGGGGGUAACUGGGAAGUGGGAUAUCAUAUGAGAUGUGAACCAAUGGAAUGAUUAAUAGAAAUAAAUAAAUAAACACCCGUCUGGUUUACAUAUGCCAGGAAGAAAACCUCUCCUAUUCUUUCUGAAACAUCCAGCAGAUCCAAGGAACAACAGCUAUAGGAGAAGAAUGGCCAUGGUAAAAAAUAAGAAGGAACAAUAAAUGAAAGUUCUCAGAGGAAACAGCUACUUCAGGUGCCUGGACUAACACCUGAGUGUUGUUUCAGAAUUUGUGAGAGCCGUAAAUAAAAUGGACACUACAGUGAGAAAGGUCAUUUCAACUUGAAGAUGAUAAUUUUUGAAAGAAAUCUUAAUGACCAAAACAUAGGAGAAAGUAGCCCUCUGGAAUGAAUAACAGAUUUGAAAAAUGAGAGGAGAAAGAAGAGGGUACAAAAUCUUAUUCUCAAAACCCGGCAUCCAGUAAACAUUCUCCGAAGAACAGAGCUGAGAUCACGGUUGCUAAGGAGGAGGAUAUCUCAGAGUGGACACGCCCAACGCACUUACAACAGAAACUUAAGCUGAGCCAGAAGGAGUAGCAUCAUAGUGUUGAAAUUUCAGAAUAUCAAAGAAAACUAUUUAUACUGCUAUGACAAAGGAAAAGGAAUAUCUACAACUGAAUGAGGUCCAUCUCCUCAUCGUGUCUUUAAGACACGGGUCCUGAUCUGUUUGACAGCAGCCCCUACUUGUUCUGUGCUGGAGGCUUGGUUGUCAGUGAUGUUGGAAGAUGGGGACCCUGAGGAUGUGGGUGGAACAUACAGUUCUAAAGUCUUGAAAGUUCUGUCCUUAGGAGCUGUUGUGGAGGAAUUAUGAAUGAUGAGCGUUAACAGAGCAUCAUGGACCCCUGAAUCAUGCAGCUGUUUCUUGUCUUAGGAAAAGUGACCACGGGGGCUGCCUUUGCUUUGAUGCUGUUCACCAUAAGAUAUUUACAGAGCGAAGCCAACACCAGCACCUAGAAUUUAAGCCCUGGAAGUGAGGCUGAAUAAACUCUUUUUUUUCUGUAUAAACGUCCAAGCCUCACAUACUUCAUCAUAGCAAUGAAAAUGGAUUAAUGUAAUAACUAAGUAGCCUCAAAAGACUGUGGGACACUUUGAUACCAAUAGAAAGUGACAUUCAGAGAAGAAACUCUAGGUAUAAUCAGCAGAAAAGUCCAAACAGGCAGAGCAGGGCUAUGAACCUUUUGUUUUCAGACCUAACUACAUUGGAUAUUAAAGUUAUUAGAAGAAAACCCAGGUGCCAUUGAAGAAGGGUUCUAGAGAUUGGCCACCUGAAAAUUAUCUUCUCUAGAACCUUCUCAGGAGAAGCUAAGGCUGUGGCCAAGAUCUGUGGGGAAUUGAAAUAAAUAUACAAUGUUCCCAGAAGUGUGAAUGCUUUGAUUCUGGAUCCCUCAAUAUCAGUGAUGUUCUUCAUCCAGACCUGCUUGCUGCCCGGCAUAACACAGGCAAGGUCAGCAGAUUGUCUGCUGCUCUUAAGAGAAAUUAAAAUAUGGCUAAAGUUGCCAGAUUACAAGUUACAUGACCAGCCUUCACCUCAGGGUGUUGGCUACAAGACUCCUGGGCACCGAAGGUUUGACACCGAUGUCUCAGCAGUGGUUGCAGAGUUUACCUGUGAAGCGCUGCCCACGAUCACCUCCUUCGCCUUCCGAGUGCCAUCAGCCUAUUUAUUACAGAGCUCAUGGUCUCUCAUCCUGGAACGCAAUCAUAUCUUUGCAUGGCCUUUGUGUCCCUCCUUCUUGGACUGGAUGACUCCUCCUUCCUGACUCGUAUGUGAAGCCCUCCCUGACGUGGCUGUACUUGCUGACAGAGUCUUUGAAGGGAUCAUUAAGGACAUGUGAGCUCGAAAGGUGGAACCGGUGCUGGUUAUUUUGAUGAUAAAACAGCAUGACCAGAAACACCUUUGAGAACAACAGUUUAUUUGAUCUUUUAAUUACAGUGAUCUCUCGGCUUCCUGCUCUUGCCGCCUGCUGUCAUGUCUCCCAAGCUAUCACGGACCAACAGGAAGCGAAGAGUGAACUGUGUAUGAGGGAAGGCUUAUAACUCCCCAAAGCCCAUCCCAGCGACCCACUUCCUCUAGCAAGAUGCCACAUAUUAAAAAAUUCCGAUAGCGACCCCAAACAUCACCACCAACCAGAGACCAUGUGUUCAAAUAUGUGAAUCUACAGCGGACAUAUUUUUGUAUGAACCACCACAGACCCCAGUCAACUAACACCAGCGUGAGUCAAAUACUCACAGUAGCCUGUUGAUACAAUCAAGAGAAGCUUUGUAAACUUGAAAUGUAUGAUGUGCCAGCCAGUACACACAGCUUACAGUUGCAAACUUUAAACUCUGAAGGGCUUUUAAAAACAAUUAUGUGUACAUAUGUGCCCUUGCGUGGUUUUAUUCAUGUGAAUGCAGUGCCAAAAGAGGCCAGAAGAGAAUGUCAGACAACCUAGAGCUGGAGUUGUAUGUGGUUGAGAGUUGGUUACCUAGUGUGGGUGCUGGGAACCAAACUUGGAUCCUUUGCAAAAGCAUUAUGGGCUCGUAGGCACUGAACCGUUUCCUCAGCCUCUAAACUCCUUCUUAUAACCAGGGUGGGCACACGCUAGAUUAAUAAUUAAGGACAUAGCAUAGCCAAUACACAGACAAGUAACUUGUCACUAAUUUUCACAAUGAAACAUUGUAUACGACACAUAUGUAGAGUCUAGUCCUGUAUGACUGGACAUGUCUGAACUGUAGCACUGCCCCCGUGCAGGAUCCAUUCAUUACUCCUUACAUGGAGAAAGUUGGGCUUUGGAAAUUUUCGGAAAAGGCAAGCAAUAUUUCCUAUGAGUUAAUGCGAUGUUUUGAAAGAAUAUGGCCCCCAUAAGUCUAUAGGGAGUGGCACUAUUAGGAGAUGAGUUAGAGAAGGUGUGGCCUUGUUGGAGUGGGUGUGGCUUUUUAGAGUAGGUGUGGCUUUGCUGGAGGAAGUGUGUCUCUGUGGGAGCAGGCUUUGAGGUCUCAAGUGCUCAAACCCUGUCUAGUGUAACAUUCACUUCCUGUUGCCUGUGGAUCUGCUGUAGAAUUUUCAACUCCUUCUCCAGCAUCACGUCUCUCUGCACACUGCCAUAUUUUCUGCCAUGGUGCCAGGGCUGCUCCCACCAAUACAUUCCAUGCUGCGUACUCUGAGUCCUAGCGACCACCCUCUCUCUCUGUUUUCCUUCGGGCCUAGGGUGGUAGUACCUCUUCUGUUUUCUCUUCCAAGGUCCUCUGUUAGGCCAAAUGCCUCAACUAUGCCUAACUCACACUUUGUCACUUGGCAUUUUGGGAAAGACAAAAGCAAACACACCUCACCUCCAGUGGUCCUGACGUGGUGCUCACCACUUUUACUUGUUUUAGUAAUGGGUGCAAAAUCUACACCUUGCAUGUAGAGGCCACUUACUUUGGGAAGACAUGUCAAGUUGAACCAGCUAUGAACCUCAGUUAGGUAAAGGCAAAUUAGAAACAUGUCAUUCCUCCUAGCUGCAGUAAUUAAUGAGGGAAUUGCCAAGCACAGAAGAUAAGACCUGGAACUUUUACACAUUUUUUUUCUCAAUGAAUAAACCAAGUAUGUCGUGUCCCCCUUAUUACUAAUAGGCAUCCUCCAAACGUGAGUCAUCAGAGAAGAAGCAGUUCUUAGGGAGGUUGUCAGUGAGUCCUGAAGCACCCCUCUCAGAGUAUGCUUCAUGAGCUAGAAACUCCUUGGCAUUGCUUUUGCCAGUCAGCCAGUUUUUCCUCUCGUGGGGUCAUCAUAGGUCUGAACUGAUAUUUGAUUUGAUCAUUCUCAAUUUCUCCUAGCUUAUCAAGAAUGGAUAACCAGAUCUUCCAGGAAGAAGAAACACUCACCAAUCACUUCUUCCUCUCAGAGAUUCCAGGAAGUGUUCCUGGCAGCCCUUGUGCCAGUGAGCUUAAUCGGCCAUUCUGGAACACACUUCGAAGGGAUCCAAUUAAGAAUUUCUCCAAGUCACACAGUCUCGUCUCUUUGCAGUCAUUCAUGGCCUGACAUCAUUACUGGCUCCACUGUCUUAUAAACAAAUGUUCAUCUAUUAACAGUUUUUAGAAAAUUUGCCAUUCACAAGACUGGACAGGGUGCUGGUGGCCAAUGAAAUAACCUUUAGAAAUGUCUUGAAAAUGUUGUAACCCUUUGAAAAGAGAGAAAAGGUAGAUGGUAUUGAGAUACGUAAAGAAAGAAGAAAGGAUUCCAAUCCAUUUAGGCAGAGACAGCAACCCAAGGUGAAAAUGCCCAGCAUCGAGUGAUCUCAGAAGGGUAACUUAUCAAACGCCUUCAUAAAGCUGAUAACGUCUCAGGCCCGUGUCAGCCAUGAAAUGACACAUCCAAAUGUAGUCCCAGAAGCACAUUUGCAGAAGACACAGUCCCAAGAGGCGAAAACUCCUCAAAUAAAAAGAAAACCAUAAGGAAAAGAAAGCAGCAUCUUCUACCUCUUGCCACCAUGACACAUGCGAUUCUCUUGUGUGGGUCAUCCAUUGAGGAUCAGGAUUCCCAGAGAUAUUGAUGAUUUCUAGUGGAUUGCAUAUUAACCUAACUGUGUCUAAUUGAUGGUAGCAGGAUUCCACAUACAGGAUAAAGCUGGCACAUUACUUGUGUAUGAACAUACAUGAGCUCAUAAUUGAUAUGCAUGUAAUGAUGAGUGUCUCUUAAAACAAAUACAAAUCAAUGAUCUUAUUCAA